GCAAACAGAGACAAGUCAGGGCAAAAUCGCAACACAAACAUGCGUAAAUACAAUGUCAGUUAAGCUUGACACAUGAGCUCUGUUUCAAAACACUGUGAGCUGCUUUCAUGGACAGCAUUUUAAGGCAUAAUAAGUGCAUUUCUGAUGCGAAAGAGAUCUGCAUGUGUGUUCCGAAGAUGAAUGAAAGUCUUACGGGUUUGGAACGACAUGAGGCAUUGCUAUUUCCUCACUGUCCGUGUGUGGCGGAUGCUUGCUGAGCCAUGCUGAGUCUUGUGAGCUGGUGCACCGUCAAAAGUGGUUUAUGCGGAAACUUCAGUCGUAUAUGUACUGUGCCAGCCAAUGAUAUAACCGCAACCAUUCCUGUUUCUGCCGAGGGGACUUCAGGGACAAUUUCUCUUCUUUUUAUAUAUAGAAAGUAAAAUUAUAAAAUGAUGUAAAUCGGCAAGUGUUUUUUAAUAUGGGUAUAUUGGAUGUUUUCACAUGUUUAUUUUGUGUAAUGGCCAUUAUGUGUGUGUAUGAGUCUCCACUUUUGUGUUAACUGGUGCUAGUCACCAGUGUAUAAAUUGUGUAUAUUAAGUGGUAGUUGUCUUGAGAACUGUUCCUGUAGUGCCUCGACCUCUGUGGGCAGUGACUCAUCUUUAUUGUACAAGCUUCUUUUUUUUUCUUUUUCCUUUUUUAUACUUUGGUUUUCCUCAAUUGGGUUGCCAUUGCUUUGCUUUUUGUAACUUAUAUGCUUGGGAAAUAAACCCCUAAAGUGUUUGCAGUAGCCUGCUGCCUCAGUGUUUUUUUCUCCUUCACUGGUCACAUCUAUCACACCGUGACCCUAUCGAAACAGAACAGAUAGAAAAUGAAAAGUACUGUGUAAAUGAAAAAAACACUCUAUCAUGGUUAUAUUGCUAUCGCUGUGCUUGUCUGUGCCAAAUCCAUCAAUCACUAGCAGGCCAACCAAGAUGUCUGCAUCUGCAACUUUAGACUCUAAAUAUUUACAGAUGUCCACUCAAAGCCAGCGCAAAGACAAAUCAAUGAGAGUACACACCACAGAACCAAUUUAUAAAAAUACAGACUGCAAAAUCUAAAACCAACAGCCUAAAGGCCUUUGCACACUGAGUCCAAAAUUUCCGUAUGCGUUUUUUCGUAUUCGUGAUCCUAAAAAUUCGUCACGCACAGAGACCUUGCGUCCGAUGCGUAUUAAUGAAUCCGUUGCAAAAAAAAACACUUUGUUUGUCAUACCAUGCUGCUGCUUUGUGCUGUAGACAACGUGGAUCAACUUGUCAGAUGGCAUUCGGGAUUUUGGCGUUCGCUUGUACGGUGGCUCUGAAUUGUCAAAACGUCUCUCAAAAUGCAUGCCACGGAUGCAAAAAAUGCAGAAAAUCGAACCUGAUCCGAAUUUUUUUAAUGACGGAUGAAAGUUUCGGAGGCAGUGUGUAAACAUGAGGUUGUAUUUAUUUUUUAACAUGCGAAAAUUUCGGAUGCGAAUUUCGGACUCAGUGUACAAAGGCACGGUUACCAGCCUAGAUCUUUAAGUCCAUCUAAAAGCAGUUUUAUAUAAUGAGAUGUUUAAACCAUAAAAGGAAACUUUUCUCAGCUUUAAUAUUUCACCUUGCUCACAGCCAAUACCUCCACAUACCCUAUGUAUAAUUCAUCAAAAAAGCCUUUCAACAUUAAAACCAUCUGAGCACGUCAGGAUGGCAUCUCCCUCAGGGAUAUAUAUAUACAAGCCUGCAGCGUAAAUCAUCAUCGCUGAACCCACGGAACGGCUCGUGGAGCCAUCUGUGUUGAUUUUGAGUGAUUGUGCAAGGCAACUCUUUUGAAGCUGGACCAGCAAGCUCCCCUAGGACAAUUCAGAAAACAGCCAUCACUGUGAGAUCUCUCUCACACAUAAAACACACUGUUCCCUAACAGGUUCAACCAACAAGAUAAACAGCAGCCCAUAUGUAUGAAAAGGGAAAGAACAAGAGAAACCCAGCUCGCAUGAGGCUCAUUUGGAUAUGAAAGGCAUAUCGGUCUAUAAUUGGUCUAUCACCACACUGGCUUCAGCCUAAUGACAGAGCGUGGAUGAUCUCAUCACAGCCGAUGGAAAGCCGUGGAAUAAAUCAAAUAAAAAGUGCUUGUGUUUAAAACUGGUCUUGACGGUAAGCUGUACUAACCUGUUCAAUGAAAACAGACACUUCAAAGUUCUUAGUCAUGUUUACUUGUGUGUUUUGUAUCCCGAGGGAACACUCACUGAAAACAUCUUAGACAACCUUGACUAAAAAAUAAAAUAGAUAAUCCAAUACUGAUUUUUAAGUCCAAUACUAAUAUACAUUAUUUUUGAUAGGGUCUCAAAAUUACAAAUAAUGGGUAUGACCAAUCAAUCCACACUUUUUAAGUUAAACUGUUAUUGGUUCCACAGAAAAAAAAAAAAAUGGCAACAUUUGAGAGAAUAGCUCCCAACGACAGCAGUAAAAAUGUGAAAAAUGUGCAGUUUAGCCAUUAGACAUAGCCAUAAAAAAGUAAUUAAGAUAAAAAAAACUUCUGUCUAUAAAGAUCGAAAAUACCUUUGCAUAAGUAAUAUUAUAAAUAUUACAACUAAUAAUUAUCAUUACUUUAUUAUUAAUAAGUAAAAUAUUUAUAAUACAUAUUGUGU